GUGCUCACUUCGGCAGCACGUAGACUAAAAUUGGAACGAUACAGAGAAGAUUAGCAUGGCCCCUGCGCAAGGGUGACAUGCAAAUUCGUGAAGCGGUCCAUAUUUUA
rnacentral:snRNA from 1 species